UGUCUGUAGACAAAGAUUUUUAAUUACAGAUAUUUUCUGCCCGGUGAAUUUUAAACGGCCGCGGUACUCUGACCGUGCAAAGGUAGCAUAAUCAUUUGCCUUUUUAUUGGGGGCUGGAAUGAAUGGAAGUAUCGAAACUCUUGCUGUCUCUUUUUUUAUUUUGGAAAUUGCUGUUUUUGUGAAGAAGCAUUAGUUUGGAAGAGGGACAAGAAGACCCUAGUAAACUUAAUUAUUUUUAGCUAUAAGUUUCUGUUAAAAGAAUGUUUGGGUCUUAUUAUAAUUUGAUUGGGGUGAUUGAAAAAGAAUUGAAAUCUUUUUUUUUAAAAAAGACGGAAAAGUUAAAAAGUGUUAGCAAGUUGUUUGAAUCAUAUGAAAAGUUACUAUAGGGAUAACAGCGUAAUUUUUUCUAAAAGUUCUUAUUGAAGAAAAAGAUUGCGACCUCGAUGUUGACUUAUUGUGUCCUUUGGGUGUAGAAGCUUUUAGGGUUAGUCUGUUCGACUAUUAAAACGGU
rnacentral:rRNA from 1 species